GCACUCAAUUCUGUUCUACUGGACCCUUUACGGGCUCACUGCUCUAAUCGAUCAAUUCGCUGGAACAGCUCAAGGAUACAAUCUCUGCAAGUGUGGCCUCCUUGGCGUAUUUUUCUUCCACGCGGUCCGCUCCAACUUGUCCGCAGUGCCCGCCACCUGGAAAUUCGCGGAGAAGCUUGAAGUUCUGACGUCACUGGUUUCACAGCUGGAGACUGAUGGUUUUCUGCGGAACUACGAUGCGAUGACACCAACGAUAACCCAGUUUUCUGAGGAUGACUCGCUGCAAUACAUAUUCCCAGUGGAAGAGAAUUUGGAAAUGAGCACAGCGUGCAGUUUCGUGCCGUCACUUGAUAUGCAGAGCACCCAGAAUCCGUCUCCAUCUACUUUGAAAACUAUGAAAAUCGAGGAAAGCCGGAAUUUCCAGACCAUGUCGGCGAUGACGUUGGCCUGCGGUGGAGCUGCAGCAGAUAUUGUCACCGUGCCGGCCGACCGGAUCACGUUUGCCGCUGGCAAGCUGGAAGAAGUUAUUCGAGUCACUAACGUCUCGCAAUCGCAUAUUAUGUUCGCUUUGAAGGUGAGGUCUCGGUUUGGCGCGUAAAAUUGUAUGUAUUGUGGUUUUUGUGCAAUUCACCGACUUCAAUGCAUCGGACUUUACGCACAAGUUGGUACUUUGUGAUUUUCCAAACAUUUUUGCUGAAAAAAAAAAUUGAAAAUUCGAAUUUGCGUGUAAAAUUAACUCGCAAAUUAUUACGAUAUUAUCAAAAUAUAUAAACUGACAUGUGAAACGUGGCUUAUUUUUUAUUUUGUUUUUUAUUUAAGCGCCUCCCAUUUUUUUAAAUGAGCUAAUAAAUAAAAAUUUUAACGAAAGGCCAGGAAUGGGAGGAGCUUAAAUAAAAAACAAAAUAAAAAAUAAGCCACGUUUCACAUGUCAGUUUAUAUAUUUUGAUAAUACUUAACACAAAAUUCUGAGAAUGCUUAUGGCGCAACAUAUUUGACGCGCAAUAUAUCUCGUAGCGAAAACUACAGUAAUUCUUUAAACGACUACUGUAGCUCUUGUGUCGAUUUAACGGCUCGAUUCUAGAUAGAAAUUUUUAGAUAGCUAAUUAGAUAUGGAUUUUCGAAAUAUCGAUAGAAUAUUAAAAUUAAGCAAAAAAGUAAAUAAUUCGAAGAAACGAAUUGUUUUCAUUUCGAAAACGAAACCCGUAUAUCGACACAAGUGCUAAAGUAGUCCUUUAAAGAAUUACUGUAGUUUUCGCUACAAGAUAUUUUGCGCGUCAACAUUCUAGAAAUCUAGAAAUUUCUAGAUUUCUAGAAAAUCUAGAAAUUUCUAGAAAUUUCUAGACGCAUUCUAGAAAUUUUGUGCUCCCGUAAUAUACACAAAUUGAAUUGUAUAAUGUAAAUUGUUUGAAAACCGAUAAUUUCAGACAAAUGCCGACGCCUACCUCAUCGCUGCUCCAACUUCUGGAGUUCUUCUGAGCGGACAAAGCAUGACAAUCCGUGUUGGAGUCACUGGCAACUACUUCGAUGAUUUUUCGGAUCCUGGAGUUUCCAUUGAUAAGGUUAUUUUAUAAUUCUAUUGAAUAAAACUUCAAUUUCCGAUUUCCAGCUCGCCAUCGACUAUGCUCUGAUCCCCAGCCGUUCCUACUCCAAAUUUUCCUCCGAGUUCUUCUAUUCCCAGAACCGACGUCGCCUCGCAAUUCGUGUGUUCUAUCAAUGAUUUGUCUCUUUUCUCGACUUUAUUUUAUUUAUUUUUGUAUUUGUAAAAAGCUUUUAUGAGUAAAAUUGUGUUUAAAUCAUGUUUUCCUGGCAUUUCUACUUCCAUGGGAGAUUUCGAUCCCUAAAACUGAGGUUUCAAACAAGCUGCAAGUACGCUCUACCGUACGAAGCCAUUUUCAAACGCGGGAAAUUGUUUCAAAAAUUAAUUUCGGAGAUUUCUUUUUCAUUUUUUCUGAUUUUCUCGGCCUGUUUCUUCAGUUUUCUUGUAAAAUUUACUGUUUAAUUAAUAAAAAUGUACAUUUUUCAGAAAAUGGUUGCCCAUCAGAAGGCGGAUUUCAAGUCGAAAUGGGCGAUGGUCGUGACUGUCAAUAACCUGAAUGACAAGAAGCGAGCCGAUUUGAGAGAAUUUUCCGAGUGGUUUAUCGAGACUUUGAGAUUGGAAGGAGCUUUUAUUGGUCACUAUUUCAAUUAUGAGGUUAUUAAGAGUUAAUAAUUAAUUAAUUAUAAAUGCAAUAAUUCCAGGCUGCACCGGUGACCAUCGUCGAGACUUUGCCAGGCAAUUUUGACUCAUGCACUAAUGCAUAUCAGAAGAUUCACAAGGUUUUGAUGGAUAAAUUAAAUAAAAUUCAAUUAAAUAAUUCUUCAGGAGCAUCCGCAGGUCGUCCUCGUCGUGCACAUUCUUCCACAGUCGCAGUCGAACGAGUACGAGUGGAUGAAGGUGUUGGCGUCGAGAUACGGAUUCGUCCGUCAGGGAUUGCUCUACGAUAACUGUGCCAAUCGUUUCCAAAAUGUGGAAACCGAUCAGAAUAGCGUGUUCCGGAACAUGUGCCAAUGGAUUUAUCGUAGCGGCACCGCGAUUGUGAGAAAUGAGGGAAAGUAAGUCGAAUUACAUUUUUUUAUUUAGCCAUUUUUUAUUUAAUUCCUGUGUGUUUCAGCGCGUGUGGAAUUCUCCAUGGAAAAGAUCCGAAACCGACGUUCGACAAGGUUCUCUUCAACAGCGAAGACAUCAAGGAUUCCGUUUUCAAAGUUCUUCACGCCGAAGAAGAGCCGAGAGGUGCGGAUCAGGAGAACAUGCUGAAGAUCAGUGGAUAUCCGGGGAUGCUCAACACGUUCGGCAUCGCACAACUUCUCACCCCAUAUCGUGUCAAUGGGAUCACCAUCACCGGCGCCCAGUCGGCCGUCGUUGCCCUGGAGAACAAGUUUCAAGUCUAUCAGGCCGUGCAGGAUUUCAACGGGAAGAAGCUCGAUCGCAAUCACAAACUUCAAGUUAGCAGCCUCGUCGUCUCGUCGCCAGCCGUUCCACUCGAGUGGCCAUCGCUCAAAAAGUCGAAGAAGCUCGUGGAGCAAGUGGGAAAGCCGAUCAGACUUUCGAAAGUCUCCUCUUAAAUGUGCCCCAAUUUGCUUAUAAGUUAUUUUUUUCUGAUUUCUGAUGAUCUUUCUUCGAUAUCUCGACCUUUACCGGUUUUUUUAAUCAAUUUGCUCAUAUUCCUUGAUAAAUAAUCUCUCCAUUAGCAUGUGCGAUUUUUUUUUCAUUUUAAUCUGUUAAAAUCGGGGCUCGAUUCUUGUUUUCGUUGGAGAGAAUUGUUCUUAAAAUAAGUAAUUUUUUAGAUGGAAGAAGGCAGCUCCUCACAGCCAUCCGACGACUAUGAGCCGAGAUAUAAAAUUUGUAAGAUUUUCCAGGUCUCGACACGACAAUUUGUGUUCAUUACAAAUAGGUGUGCGCCUUUAAAAAAGUACUGUAAUUCAGAGAAGAUUUUCUGCGGAAUUUUGAUAGAUUUUUCAGAGUUUUUCUCUCGAUUUGUUGAAAUUCAAGUGUUUUAUUGUUAUACUAGAACAUUAAGCAUAUUUUUACUAAAAAAAAACAAAAAAAAUCGAAUAAAAUUAUGUGUCGAGACCGGUGUUCGGCCCAAAACUUCCACAAAAAAUAAAAUCUCGAAAAAACUCGUGGCGAGACCCAAUUUUCUUCCAGCACGACCAAAUCAACAAAUGCGACUUCCUAUAAUUCGGCCUAAAAUCCCGCCGAAAUCCUCAGGCCCACCGGUUCGCCUGAUCACCUCCGCCACUCCACAACCGAUAGCGCCGAGCACAUCGAACCCGCGGCCGCUGAUCUCACUGCUCGAUCGGACAGAGUUUCGCGAUCGGAAUCGACCGGCGCUGGUGCCGACGAGAAUGAUGGCAAAACCGAAGAAGUGCUAUUACACAGAGAUGGCCGAUAUUCGAAAGGAAUUCGGAAUACCCGAAGCGCUGGACACUGUGAAGCCGAACACGAUGAGCGGCGUUGGUCAGUGCUCGGAUGAAAUUUAUUUAAAAUUCGAAAAUUCCAGUUUUUCGUAUAAUUUUCCACUACCGCUGCUACCGAUACGGGACCAGGUCUCGGCACGAUAACUCAAACGGAUGUGCGCCUUUAAGUUAACUUUAAAUCGGUUUUUCAGUCUUUUUUUAACGAAAAACUGGAAAAAGUACCUUUAAAGGCGCACACCGGUUUUUGUUUACAAAAAAUUGUCGUGUCGAGACCUUUUCGCUCAAAAUUUCGAAUUUUUUCAGCACUGGCGUCAAAGCUCAACCUCCUACAACGUCUACGCGGCGAGAACAAAUUCCUGCGCGAAUCGAUCGAAACGAGACAAUCCACGUGCGACGAGCGGCUCGAUCAAAUCGAAGGGUCUCGCAACGCGACCGCCGAAGCCGCACAAUUCUGCCAGGCGCUCCGAGACGAUCUGAACACCGUGGAGAUGGAUAUCGCCGGACUACGGGCUCAGGAAGACACAUGAUUUAUUUGGAUUCUGCGGAUUACAAUAAAGUACAUUUAAUAAAGAACAAUAAACCACCGUUUUUUUUUUGGAUUUAUGUAUGUGUCAAAAGUCGUCAGAGAGGGAUACCCAGUAGAUAUGUUGAACAAGGGGGGGGGGGGAAUAAAAAAAAGAAUCUAAUAAAACAGAAACGCAAUAUAAAGCACAAUUAUUAGAAAGAACACUGAAAAAAAACAAUAAAUUAAUUUAUAUUAGCACUAAUAUUUAUUGCUGAUACUUUUUCUUUUGAGCUUCGUACACCUUCUCCAGCUUUUUGAUCUGACUCUUCGUGAUCUGAAAUAAUAUUUAAAUUAAAUAAUAUCUGUAAAUAAAAUAAUUUCAGAGGCACCACGAAUUCAAGAUUGGUGGAAUUGCGGAUCUACGUUCUCCGGAUCUCGAAGAAAAACGCCGUUUAUUUGGAAAUUUUCUUCUGGAAAAUACGCGUAGAUCCGUAAUACCACCAGAUCUUGAAUCCGUGGUGACUCUAUUUCGUAGUUUCGUCGUUUUACCUCCGUUCCAUCAGCCAAAUGAGUCGGUACACCUCGUUCAUCAAACUUCGAGUAUUUCCCGACGUGCUCUCCCUGCUUGAACAGCUCUUCCGGCUUGAUCUUCUUCGCUGCCGCCUCCUUAUCAGCCUUCUCCCGAGCCUUUUGCUCCUUGUCCGCCUUUUCCUUAUCCUUCCGCUUCUUCUCGGUGUCCUUCUGCUCUUGCUCUCGGAGCAAUGUGGCACGAUCCACAAGCUUCACAACGGUCUGACCAUUUCGAUCCUCGAGGCGAACUCCGAGUUCGGUGAGGGUCUUGUCACGAAGAGUGUCGCAUUCCUGAAAAAUUUUGAAUUAUUUUAUUUAUUUUAGAAAAAAUUAAAGAAAAAAUAUAAAACCUCAAGAAUUCCAUUAACUUUGUGCUCUUUUGCGAUAAGCCGAACUUUUUCGCGAAAUUGAGCAAGAGCAUCCAGGUACGGCAUGACGACGGCUUCCUUGUUAAACGAUGUUGAAGCUCCUUCGCCAUUGCACUCAUCCUCGGAAACGAAUCCGAUCUCCUGGUUGCUCUGUGGAAUUGCUCCAAAGAUCUUGAGCAGAUUUGUGAUGUAGGCAGCGAUAUUUCUGAGCAACAGGCAAUUCGGAACGUGUCCCUCCUUCUCCUUCUCCACAAUAUAGGCAUUUCCAAGGGAAAUCAGCUCUCGGAACUUCUCGAUCACAGAUCUGGUAUCCACCGAAUCACAAAGCGCCUCGUGAACUUCCGACUUGAGCUUUCCAAAUUCCUCCAUAAGCUUCAACUCUUUUCCUUGGAAUUUUUGGUAUCCUUCUGAUCGAUCUGGCUUGUAGUGUCUUCUCAAAAAGUCCUUGACGAGAAGGAAGAACUCGUUGGUGAUUUUCUCGAAUUGAAGGGCUCUUUCCAUAGUUGAAGAGCUGAAAAAUCGUUUUUUUUUUUGAAAUUUAGAAUAUAGAAAAAAACGCUCGAAGAAUGUCUGAGAGUUGAAAAUUGCCAGAAAUCACCGGCAAUGUUCACUUUAUAGGAAAAUUUGGAGCACUUUUCCAACUGUUCCAACUGAAAUAAAAGCUAUUUUCACAUGUACCAAGUCAGGGGUAGGCGGCAAUUUUUUUUUUGCCGACAAAUAUGGCAAAUUGCCGUUUUUCCGACAAAUUCGGCAAUUUGCCGGAAAUGUUUAAUUUUGGUAAUUUGCCGAUUUGCCGGAUAUUUUUAAUUCCGGAAAAUUGCCGGGUUACCGAUUUGCCGGAAAUUUUUAAUUACGGCAAUUCGCCGGAAAUUUCCAAUUCCGGCAAUUUGCUGAUUUGCCGGAAACUUUCAAUACCGGCAAUUCGGACGUUAGCCGGUUUACCGAUUUGCCGGAAAUUCGAAUUCCGGCCAUUUGCCGGAAAUUUGCAAUUCCGGCAACUUGACGAUUUGCCGAUUUGCCGGAAAAUUUCAAUUCCGUCAAUUUGCUGAUUUGCCGGAAAUUUCCAAUUCCGGCAACUUGACGAUUUGCCGGAAAAUUUCAAUUCCGGCAAUUUGCCGGCCAACCGAUUUGCCGGAAAAAAUCGUUUGCCGUCCACCCUGGUUCGACUUCAUAAGAAAAGUGUCGAAACAACUAGAUUUUUGUAGAAUUGCCGCCCAAAUGAGACUUCAAAAGAUUGGAUUUUUCAUUUUUUCGCGAUUUUCUCCGAAUUUUUGUGGGUUUGCCUAAUCCCAACCUAUAAUCCAGAACAUCAGCCCAAUUAUGCAUCAAGAAAAGAAGCCGAAGCUGUCUCGGAGUGUAAUCUUCAAGAGCCUUCCGGAUCGUGAUGAAGUUCUUCAACGAUUUCGACAUUUUCAUUCCUUGAAUUCGAAGAGUUCCACAGUGCAAAAAGUAGUUCACCCAGUGAGGAUCGUCGUAGUGAGCCUCGACUUGUGCAAUUUCAUUAUCGUGAUGCGGGAACUUCAGAUCGAAACCGCCAGCAUGAAUGUCGAGUUUUGAGCCGCAAAUCGCCGAGGACAUCACAGAGCACUCAAUGUGCCAUCCUGGACGUCCAUUUCCCCACUCGGAAGGCCAGAAUGGUUCUCCGUCUUUUGACGAUUUCCAGAGAGCAAAAUCGUUGGGGCUCCGCUUCGAUUUGAGCCUAUCAUCAGACAUACUCAGCUCUCCUUCACUCUCCUUCAUAUUCUUCAGCAGCUGCUCACUAUCCUCUCCAUAAGCUUCUGGCACCAAUUUCGCAUAGAAAUGCUUCGGAUUCUGCUCGAAAGCUUUCGUAUCAAAAUAGACACUUCCAUCUUCAGCGGCGUAUGCAUAUCCAUUGCUAAUGAUCUUUUUGACGUAGGUGAUGACUUCGGGCACAUAUUCGGAGACUCUGGUGAGCACGUCGACCGGGAGAACGUUGAGACGAGCCAUAUCGGCUAGGAACUCCUUUUCGUAGCUGAAAAAAAAAUUGAUUUUGAGGGUGGAAAAGGGAUUUUCAUUUAAAAAUCGAAGAAAAAAAGACUCAAAUUCAGAAAAACCAGAGUAGAAAACAAAAAAUCUAACUUGAAAUUCUGAAAAUUCGUCAACUUCGCCUUGUUGCAGCGGCUGGAAUACAGUUUUCAUCAUUUUUUUUUCACUUUUUAAUGCUUAAUUCGUUGAUUUAGGCACAUUUCAAGCCAACAGACACCCAAUUUCGGCGAUUUUUAGUGCAUGUCGGCUUUAAAUGGUCUAAAAAUAGCCUAAAUAUAAAUUCAACGAAUAAACUAUAUAAAUAAUCAAAAUAUGCGUUAAAGGAUGACAAUUCAAUAUAAUCUGUAUUCAAGUUGCUACAGCGAAGAUAAAUUGGCAAAUUUUCAGAUUUUAGCGAAUUUUGGCUAUUUUUCCGGCUAUUUUCUCUGUUUUUCUCAGAAUUUAAGGCCAUUUUCGCUGGAUUUUUGAAUCAAAAGCUUACGUCUUCGCGAGAUCAUCAAACACACUAUGAUCCCUCACAUCCUUUCCAUGAUUAUGAUCAAGCCACUCGGAGAGCACAUCUCUCGACUCAUUGAGCAGACGGCCUUUGGCUUCUUCAGUGGCAAUCGAGUCUUGAGCCUUCAUAGCUUCUUCCAGCGCACUCGAUUGCUGCUGAACCUUCUUUAUCAUCACUUCGAACAUCUUCUUCUUGUCCGGAUCCAUUUCAGUUUCGAAUUUCGUCUUGAAAUGUUCCAGCGCGGCGACAACGUCCUCGCACACUUUCAUCACAGGUGGAGCCUGCGAUUCGUUGAAGUACGACUUGAGCAGAUGGCUUUGACGAGCUCUUUUGAUGAUUUUAUCGUCCACAUCAGUGAUAUUCAUGAUAAAUUCCACAUCAUAUCCGAAAUAAUCCCUGAAGACUCUUCUCAAAAUAUCCAAAGAGAGAUAGGAUCGAGCAUGGCCCAUAUGCGAAGAAUCGUAGACUGUCGGACCGCAAAUGUACCAUCUGACCUGAAAAAUGUGAUUAUUUUCUGGGAAAAUAGUCGAAAAACUCACUCGUUUUCCUUCAUUCGGAACGAAAACCUCUUUCUGACGAGUCAAACUAUUGUAGACGGUCAGUUGAGGCGGUGGAGUCGCAUUUUUUGGCUGAUCCCAGUGUUUUUGCACGCGUUUGACGGCUACUGAAGUUAAAAUAUAUAUAUAUAUUAAAUGGCGAGUAGAGUUUGUGGGUAUUUUGCUUAAAUAGACUAAAACUGGUCCAAAACCAUCGAAUUUCAAAAUGAGACGUCACAAAAAAUUUCCAAAAGUUGUUUAUGGUCGGUCAAAAUUUCGAAAAAAAAAGAGCCAAAUUUUGCUAAAAUCUGAAAUUUUGCACACUUUUCUUUGUCACAGCCGCUGGAUUUUAGUUUUUCUGAAAUGACCACCUUUUAAUCCUGAUUUUGGUAAUUUAUCUCGCGGAAAUUCGCUGAUUGAGAUAGAUUUUGAGUCGAUAGGCAUCCAAUUUCGAUCAUUUUUGGAUGCCUAUCGGCCUAAAAGUUGUCUCAAUCAACGAAUUUAGGCGAGAUAAGUUACCACAAUUAGGAUUAAAGGGUGAUAAUUUCAGAAAAAAAAACUAAAAUCCAGCGGCUGUGACAAAGAAAAGUGCGCGAAAUUUCAGAUUUUUGCAAAAUUUGGCACUUUUUUUCCGAAAUUUUGACCGGCCAUAAAAAUUUUUUGGAAAGUUUUCGUGAAGUCUCAUUAUGAAAUUCGGUGGUUUUCGACCAGUUUUAGUCUAUUUAAGUAAAAUACCCACAAACUCUACUCCACCUUUAAAAAACUGCACCGCACAAUUUUGCAACCUUGCCGCACGGUUUUUCUUUUUUGUUGUUUUUUUUUAAAUUUCGGUUUUAAUUUUUAUUCCUUUCUUUUCGAAUUUAAUCCAAUUUAAUUUUCAUAAGAUUGUGAGAAUUAAAUUGGAUAACAUUUUCAUUCAAAAAGCAGAGAAAAUUCGAAACUUAUUCAAAAAUUGACAAAAAAAAAAGGGAAAACCGUAAAAUCACGCUCCGCCUCUAUUUCUUAAUUUAAAACCCAACCUGGUCUCAAAUUAGGAUCCAUAAUGCAGUGGUGAUGGCUUCGUAGUUGUAAUUUCGAGCAAUUCCAAGCGAAAAGCUGCGUCUGAUUGCGAUUAAAGCUCGCGAACAGCAGCACACGGACCAAGUUUUUCGAACGCGUCGUGCCGAAUUUUCGAACGAAAACGCCUAAAAAUGCGGUGGUUUUCGAUGAGUGGAGGAGAAGGACGAGAGAGUGGAGACAAGUGAAGAGACUGCAGACAGCUACGCAGCUGUUUGCAGUUCGAUGACAGAAAAUGAACGGAGAAUAAAUAUAUUUAGAGCUGUUGGAACGGAUAAACGGAUGAGGAGAGAUAGAAAAUCGGAUAAAAUGCUGUUUUCCGAGGAAUUUUACAUUUAAACAAAUUAAAAAUCGCUUCAAAUUCAGAAAACCACAGCCAAAAAAUGGUUUUUUUUUGAAAUUCCGAUUUUUUUUGGAUUUUUCGUAACAAAAUAUAUUUUUUAAAUGCAUCAGGUCCAUAAAAUUCAGAUUUUCAACGUCUUAGAAAACCAGUUCCCCUACCCGGAACUUGCGAACCUCUUUCCAGUAGCAUUAGCGAUUAUCUUAUCAAAAAAUGUCCAUAUCAACGUCCGCCGUCGCCUCGUUUUCGAUGCCUACGUGAGAAUUCUCAGAAAUAAAAAAUUGUGGGAACACACUGAAAUUAUUAUUGAAUUGCGGAAAAAAAAAAUGAAUUGAAAGUAAUGUCUCUACACACGGAAAGCCAAAUAACACUGACGAAAAGAGCGUUUUUGAUUACAUCAUCUCCACCCAGCUGACGCGCCGCUUUCGUUAUACUCUCUUUUUGCAACAUUUUCAUUUUCUCGUGGGGUGGAGGAGAGAAAAAAGAGUAAAAAAAGCAUUAUAUUAACUGCUGAUAAGCUUUGCAAUGGUUUUUCUUGUUUCAAAUUUCGAGAACAGGAGAUGAAUUUAAUCAACUUGGAAAAAAAACAUUGAACAUUUGAACAAAAGCGAGUGUUUUCCGCGCAAAAUGGUCACGACACUUGCUGCCAGCUGGCUGUUCCAAAAGUACUGAGGCUCCAAGUGCAUUUUCCUGGAAAACUUGGGCAAAAUCAUCCGAUUUUAUUCAAAAAAGCAAAAAGUAUGAUGCUUAUUGAAACGUGGACAGGGUUUGUUUGUUCAGACACGCAUGCAUCGAACACAAUAACGGAAUACACCCACACGGAAUCAGUCGUAGCCGCUUUUUUUUAUUGGAAAAUGUAUGAAAAUUUGGAAAUUGGAGGAAAAAUGCAAGAAAAAAUGAAGAAAAAAACAUUAGAAAAUAAAUAAAAAAAAGAAAAAUCCUCAGGUACGUGAAAUUGCGUAAGAUUUGGCGCCUUUUGUGCAAACACGUCUUCGAAAAUUUGAAUUUGAAAAAUAAUUUGAACAAAUUGUUUUUUUUUUGUUUUCUGAUUUUUCUAAACAUUUCCGUUUAAAAGAGUUUUCUUUUUAUCAAAAUGCAUUUUAUAUUUUAUUUGUUCUUCUAGAAGUAAAAUAUAUUCCUUUUUAUGGUGUAAGCUCGACAAUAAAUGUGUCUUUUGAAUUCAACGAUCUAACUAACUUUCAUGGAAGAUAUUUCAGAUGUAACGGGCCAUAAUGAGCGGUAGUGGGGAUGCAAAGCCCCCGAUUCUGAUUCUUUGAGUAUACUCAUCACAUUGAUUGCUACUUUUGGGGAUUCCAUCAGAAACAUCCUUGCGUGGAGCCAACUCAGCCUUUCUAGAAAUCAAGCGAUACUAGUUCCGUGUAUGCGUUGUUGGACAGCAAAAAUGUCAUUCUCCGUGCUUUCUAGGCGCUAAAAAGUUUGAAUGCGCGCCGGAAGUUGAAAACUACAUCUCUCCUUGCAGAUAUCUUCGCGUCGGCAUCGAUUCAAGGACAAGGAUGCUGGGGAUUCGAGGAUUUGGACGAAUUGGACCGAGGGCGUCGGCUAUUGGAUGGAUAUUCUAUGGAGUACGUUCUUGGAUUGUUCGCUGUAUUGUAAGUCGUUCAGACAGCCGAAAAUGAGCAAAUUUGAGUGAAUUUCAGUGUGAGAAAGGAGUUGUCAAGAUCAGCGAGCUUCGUAAAAUCUACCAGUCGACCGUCGUCAAGGAUAGAUAAGUUCAGUUCAGACCUCUGUCGGGAGUCUUGAAAGCUGUCAAUGAGAAUUUGCUGCAUUGGCAGGGAUGGAAUGUAAGAUUUCAUAGUUUUUCAAUGCUUAUUUUUAAUUUAUCUUUUAAAUCUUCAGGCAGUCAUCCAAGACGAUCGCCUCACCUAUGUGAAUGUGAAGGGAGAUACACCGAAUGAUGUGAGAGCAAGCGAGACCGAGAGAACAUUGGCAAUUCUCAAGAAUAUUUAAUUUUUUGAUCUGCUCUCUCGUCCUUCUCUCAUCGAAAACCGCAUUUUUAGGCGUUUUCGUUCCAAAAUUCGGCACGACGCGUUCGAAAAACUUGGUCCGUGUGCUGUUCGCGAGCUUUAAUCGCAAUCAGACGCAGCUUUUCGCUAGAAACUGCUCGAGAUUACUACUAAGCCAUCGCCACAGCAUUAUGGAUCCUAAUUUGAGACCAGGUUUGUUUUGAAUUUAUCGAUCCGUGAAAAGCAGCGAUGCACAGAUACAGAUGCGGAGCAUAAUUUCUUCCAAUAAAGUUUUGGUUUUACUUGUUUUAUUUUAUUUAUUAGAAUUAAAAUCUUAUUCCCAGUUCAUUCUUAUCAGAUUAUGAGAAUAUUUGGUUGUCGAAACAUGAAAUAUUCUCACAAUCUUAUGAUAAUUUAGUUGGAAAACAUUUUCAUUCGAAAAAGAGAACAAAAAAUUAAAAUCGAGAUUUUUUCUUGAAAAAAAUUUAAUAAAAAAAAGAAAAACAGUGCGGCAAGGUUGCGAAAUUGCGCUCCACCUAAAUUUCUGUGCGAUCCUUAUAUUUCAACAGUAUUUAUAAAUAUAAUUAAAGUAUAUUUCAAUUUCAGUAGCCGUCAAACGCGUGCAAAAACACUGGGACCAACCAAAAAAUGCGACUCCACCGCCUCAACUGACCGUCUACAAUAGUUUGACUCGUCAGAAAGAGGUUUUUGUUCCAAAUGAGGGAGCACGAGUGAGUUUUUCUACUAUUUUCCCAGAAACUAAUGAUAUUUUGCAGGUUGGAUGGUACAUUUGCGGUCCGACGGUCAACGAUUCUUCGCAUAUGGGCCACGCUCGAUCCUAUCUUUCUUUGGAUAUUCUGAGAAGAGUCUUCAGGGAUUAUUUCGGAUAUGAUGUGGAAUUUAUCAUGAAUAUCACUGAUGUGGACGAUAAAAUCAUCAAAAGAGCUCGUCAAAGCCACCUGCUCAAGUCGUACUUCAACGAAUCGCUCCACCUGUGAUGAAAGUGUGCGAGGACGUUGUCGCCGCGCUGGAACAUUUCAAGACGAAAUUCGAAACUGAAAUGGAUCCGGACAAGAAGAAGAUGUUCGAAGUGAUGAUAAAGAAGGUACAGCAGUUUUGCAGGGUAUCUCUCCUUGACACGAGUUCGAUGGACCCCCGAAUCGGUUAUCUGGCCGUCUUGAAAGGUGAACAUUGUGCAAUAUUAUCUUAAUUUUACUAAUUUUGUUUUUUACAGGGCGUGCAAUUGCUGCUGCUCAGGCCUCAGAACUCAACGCAUUCUAAGCUGCUGCAAACGACCUUCAUCGUAUAUCUGCACAAAUCGAAGCGGUUCAGCUCGAAGACGAUAUCCACGUGUAAGUUUUUUUAGAGCCGGGCAAUUGGAUGGGCCUUCGAAACUAUGUGUGAACUGCACAUCUUGCUCAUCUGAGUUAAUGCUCCAUUCAAUUCUCUUAAUCCUAAAAAUAAUUACAUUUGACAUUUGAAACCGUGCCCUGCCUUGCAAGAUCAACAACUCACGCUCAGUUUCGGAGGCGUAGUCAUUGCAAUCUCUCGCAACCGACACUCUUCCUGACUCUUCUUUUAAACUGAUUUCAAUAUUCAAAUUUUCAGAUAUGUUCCACCAAAUCAAAACGGGGUGUUGGAUCGAUUCCGCGAUGCACGACAAACCGCUGCUGGUAAUAAACUAGGUCAUCACAAAAUUUAAUACACUUUCUUACGGAGGCCGCAUUCGCAGCUUGUGCCGCAGCUGCUGGAUUCGCCCAUCAUGCUGAGCCAGCCCAACAGGAGCUCUUCUAUGCCGUUCGGGAGACCAUUUGUCAACGUAUACAAGCUAUGGAACCGCGCCGGGGCGGGCUAUAAAUGAAUCUCAUAUUCGAAUAAACAUUUGUUGAUAGAAUUUUUACCUUGUCUGCACUGACCAUGUGCUUGUACUUGAUCAAUGAAGAGUAUGCACAGGUUAUUGAUUUUUUGCAGCCGCCAUCUAGUUUUCUGUUUUCAGACAAUUUGCACCGCGCUGACGUCAGUGCCGCCGGCUCUUUUUUCGUAUCGAGUUUUGUAAAUCAGAUGACUGAUAAGCAGGGAUAU
rnacentral:sRNA from 1 species